rnacentral:rRNA from 1 species
UACGGGGGGGGCAAGCGUUUGUUCGGAAUUACUGGGCGUAAAGCGCGCGUAGGCGGCUUUUCAAGUCAGGCGUGAAAGCCCCAGGCUUAACCUGGGAACUGCGUUUGAUACUGUUAAGCUAGAGUGUGGAAGGGGCUACUGGAAUUCCGUGUGUAGCGGUGAAAUGCGUAGAUAUACGGAGGAACACCAGCGGCGAAGGCGGGUAGCUGGGCCGAACACGUGACGCUGGAGGCGCGAAAGCGUGGGGAGCAAACAGG